rnacentral:rRNA from 1 species
CUUGGUCAUUUAGAGGAAGUAAAAGUCGUAACAAGGUUUCCGUAGGUGAACCUGCGGAAGGAUCAUUACUGAGUUGUUGACAUGAGCUGUUGCUGGUCCUCAAAACAAGGGGGCAUGUGCACGCUCUGUUCACACAUCCACUCACACCUGUGCACCAACCGUAGUUCUAUGGUCUGGAGGACUCACCGUCCUCUUCCCGUGGUUCUAUGUCUUUACACAUACACCGUAGUGAAGUCUUAUGGAAUGUGCGCCGCGUUUAACGCAAUACAAUACAACUUUCAGCAACGGAUCUCUUGGCUCUCGCAUCGAUGAAGAACGCAGCGAAAUGCGAUAAGUAAUGUGAAUUGCAGAAUUCAGUGAAUCAUCGAAUCUUUGAACGCACCUUGCGCCUCUUGGCUAUUCCGAGGGGCAUGCCUGUUUGAGUAUCAUGAACACCUCAACUCUUCACGGUUUGUUCUGUGAUGGGCUUGGACUUCUGGAGGUUUUGCUGGCCUAUGGUCGGCUCCUCUCAAAUUGAUCAGCUUUACCAGUGUUUGGCGGCGUCAUGGGUGUGAUAACUAUCUACGCUUGUGGCCGUCUGCCAGGUAACCUUCAGCGAUGGAGGUUCGCUGGGGCUUACAAAUGUCUCUCCCAAGCGAAGACAGCUUUUGAACGUUCGAUCUCAAAUCAG